ACAAAAUGUAAACACAACAGGAGGAAAAAUAUGGGUUUCGUAACUAGCAGACUGAAGAACGUGUUGCUGGGAUUACAUCACCGUCACUCUUUUCCGCUUCCUAACUAACCCAGCAACAUAAUGGAAGAAUAGAGGAGCUAAGGAGUAACAAGAAGAGAGAGUGAGAGAGGGGUAAUAGGGAGAGAAGGACAGGGGGAGAGUAAGUGUGUCAAAGCUUAUGAAGGCAGAGAUUUUGUGAUUUUUAUUUAUCAAGGAGGGGAAAUGUAUGCCACUAGAAGACUUUUAAGGCCUGUCUGGCAAACCGCGUGGAGGAAUGUUAGGACCUGUUCAUCUGAGGCCCAGGCAGCUCCAGCAAAGAAGAGAGGCGUGCUUCGGACCCUAGGGCGCGGCGUGAUGGGCGUGGGCGUGGCGGUGCCGGCGUUGGGCGGGGUAUACUACGUGGUUAGCGAUGACCACACCAAGAGGCAGAUGAGAGUUACUGUGCAGGGAGUUGGCAGGUUUUUUAGAACGGUAUGGAUUGGCAUGCAGAUCUCAGUGGACUACAAGUGGGCAACGUAUGGCCUUGAUGAAGACAGCGAUGAGUAUGAGGAAGCGCUAUCCAAGGCUCAUCUCCGCUCUGCCAGUCGCAUUUUGGAUGGCUGCUUGAAGAAUGGAGGCCUCUAUGUGAAGCUUGGCCAGGGGUUGGUGUCCUUGAAUCACAUCUUGCCUAAAGAAUAUUUGGAAACACUCAAAGCUCUUCAGGACCGAUGCCUCAACCGCAGAUGGGAUGAGAUCGGCCUGCUCUUCCAGGAGGACUUUGGCAUCUCUCACAAAGAGAUGUUUGCUGAGUUUGAUGACGAGCCCAUUGCAGCGGCCUCCCUUGCACAGGUGUUCAGAGCCAAGACUCAUGCGGGGGAGGAGGUGGCAGUGAAGGUCCAAUAUAUAGACCUUCAGGACAGGUUUUGGGGUGACAUUGCUACCAUUGAACUUCUGCUGGAGAUCAUACAACUCAUGCACCCAAAGUUUGCCCUCAAGUGGGUCAUGAAGGACCUGAAGGGAACACUGCAGCAAGAGCUAGACUUCCUGCAUGAGGGAGAGAACAGUGAGCGGUGUGCCAAGGACCUCUCCGGCCUGCCCUACGUGUAUGUGCCUCGCGUCCACUGGGACCUGUGCAGCAAGAGGGUGCUGACAGCAGAAUACAUCCAUGGCUACAAAGUGAGUGAUGUGAAGGGCAUCAAGGGGGCUGGUCUGGAUAUCAAGGAAGUGGACAGCAAAUUGGUGAAUGCAUUUGCCGAACAGAUUUUCCACACAGGCUUUGUACAUGCUGACCCCCAUCCUGGCAACAUCUUGAUCAGGAAGCGGCCGAGCGGUGAUGCCGAGGUGGUGAUCCUGGACCAUGGACUCUACCAGCCUCUGCCCACCUCAGUCCGCCAGCCCCUGUGCCGGCUGUGGAAGGCAAUAGUUGUAGGUGACCACACCCAGAUGAAGGACAACUCAGCACAACUCGGAGUGACAGCCUCAAACUACCGGCUGUUUUGCAUUUCUCUCAUUCAACGUUACAUCGCGCCGGCGGAGGGCGUAAUCCAGGACAUAUUUGACAUGUUUUAUGAUGAGAAGGGGCCAAAAUUCAUGACAAGGGCACAAUUCGAUAAACUUCCUGAGGAUGAGAAGAGAGAGCUGAGGAAGGAAAUAAUGGAUGUCCAUGACCGUGUGUUAGAUGUCUUCAAGGGUAUCCCCAGCAAUCUGCUUCUCAUUUUUAGACCACAGCCUUUUUGCGGAAAUGCUCAUGCAGCGGCCAGUGGGGGGAGGAGGGAUUGUGUCAUUGAAGGAAGUGUUGAGUGCUGAGGAGUUUGAGUACAUGCAAAAGAUGGCUGCCAACCGUUUUGAUCAGAUAGACAGGACUCUGCGAGAACUGCCUCGAGAGAUGUUGUUGGUCAUACGGAAUGUGAACACCAUCCGGUCUAUCACCAAGGAACAUGGGGACGUGGUGGACCGUUACAAGCUGAUGGCCCGCUCUGCCACGCGUGGCGCCUUCGUGUCGCCCGAUGCCUCCAUCAUGCAGAGGAUGCGUGGGCAGUGGGAGCAGCUCUACUUUGACUAUUCACUCAAGAAGGAAGCAGUGCGGAUGUGGGUAAUGAAGAAGGUGCUGUAUAUGUUGUACCUGCUGGGCCACAUUCCAGACCUUGCCCAGGUGGAGGCGCUGUGAUGUUCCGAGCAGCGCUGCCAACAUGCUCACUGUGCUCAGUAGUGUCCAGCUGGUAACACAACAACAUGGACUGGACAGAUGCAAUAUUUUUAUACAAAAUGUUGAAUUGUUGCCACAUGUAAUUGUAAGUUCAUGGAUAGUGUUUAGUUUUGUAGUAGAUUUGAAAGGCUAAUAUCUGUUUCUGGUUAGUGAGUGAUGUUUAGUCAUGUGCUGGUGAAUUCUGGGUAACAGAUAUCUAAUUUAUGAAUUUUUAAAAUUACAGAUUAAAUUAUUUUGCCUUUCUCUUAAUUCACAAAUGCAGAAUUCACAUUAUUUAUAAAUAAAAACCUAAAAAAAAAAAAUAAAUAAAUAAUUUUAAUAUGCAUUGAAUUGAAAGAAUUACAGACAUUUACUUGUUCCUAAGUUAUAAUUAUUCAGUUUAUGAACAUUAGUAGUAAUGUGCAUUAGUAAAUCAAGACUUAUCUAUGUGUUGAAAGCUCAGGUUACCAUGAUGACAUGAUGAAUGUAGAUAUUCCGUACAGUGUUUUGUUAAUAAUUUGUUGAAUCAGUCAAUCUAUCUUCUUGCAUCUGACUCCUUCUCAUCCUGUGGGGACACUCUUCAGUGGGGCAGCUGUGGCAGGAGGCUGUCCAUCCUUCCGUGCCCAACAUUUCCCCAUCUUUAUGAAUAAAUUCUUUCCUGUCAUUUUUCUCCCUCCAAUAAUUAUAUUUUUCUUCUUUAUUGUUGGCUUCCUUUCACAUUUCAUCAUUCAUUCUCAUUUAUGUGCCUUCUCUUGUAUUUCUUCUCAAUUAUUCUUACUAUGUGUCCAAACCACCUCACUCUACCUUGCUUUUUUCAUUCGACCUAUUCAUACGACUCUCUCCAUCCUUCCUGACAGACCAUGUGCUCUUCAUUUAUGUGUACUGCAUGUAUUCAAGGUGGAAGAAGCAUAUUACUGUUUUUUAGACUAUCUUUGUUUCCAUACUUAAUUUCCUCCUAUUCAUAAUUUUCUCCAGUUCUUCUGUGAUUUGUCUCUCUUUCACCAUUCUCUGUCUCUAUCUUGUCUCUCUCAUGCUUCAAUGAUUACACAGAAUUGCUCCUCGUUGCUUAAACUCCUUCACAUCUUCUGUCUUCACUUCCCCUAAAAAUGGUCUUGGUCUUUCAGUUGUUCACACUUGUGUACCUCUUUCAGAAACCAUUGCCCUGCUCAUGUCAACUUGUACAUACCUUCAUCUCUCUCCUUUUAUGCAUUAUAUUAAAACAUCUUCCAUAUCCUGUAACCUUUUGACACUGCUAGCAACCCUCUGUCCUUUGUGAACAGUCUUGUUCCCAGGGAGUGUUGCAUGUUGCUACAUCAGCCUAGCAUGUGUUCAUAUCCCAUACUGUCUUUCAUCACACUCUUGCUGCUAUCUCUGUAUAUCUUGAACAACCCUGGUGAUGUCACAACCCUUGCCUCGCCCUCAUGCCAGUCUGAAGAUAUAUUGAUUUUAAAUUAAGUUAAAUUAAAUUAAUUUAAUAAAA